CCCCUCAGGCCUGACGAAUUUACUGGUUACCUCGUUGCUGGAUUGGAUGAAGACUAUGAUCCUCUUGCCACGUUGGUUUCAGCCCGUGCCCUCCAUGAUCCAAUGCCAAUUCAGGAUAUUUAUUCGCAGAUGCUGCACCUUGAGC